rnacentral:rRNA from 1 species
UACGUAGGGGGCAAGCGUUAUCCGGAUUUACUGGGUGUAAAGGGAGCGUAGGUGGCAGGGCAAGUCAGAUGUGAAAACCCGGGGCUCAACCCCGGGAGUGCAUUUGAAACUGUCCGGCUGGAGUGCAGGAGAGGUAAGCGGAAUUCCUAGUGUAGCGGUGAAAUGCAUAGAUAUUAGGAGGAACACCAGUGGCGAAGGCGGCUUACUGGACUGUAACUGACACUGAGGCUCGAAAGCGUGGGGAGCAAACAGG